rnacentral:rRNA from 1 species
UACGAAGGGGGCUAGCGUUGUUCGGAAUUACUGGGCGUAAAGCGCACGUAGGCGGAUAUUUAAGUCAGGGGUGAAAUCCCAGAGCUCAACUCUGGAACUGCCUUUGAUACUGGGUAUCUUGAGUAUGGAAGAGGUAAGUGGAAUUGCGAGUGUAGAGGUGAAAUUCGUAGAUAUUCGCAGGAACACCAGUGGCGAAGGCGGCUUACUGGUCUAUUACUGACGCUGAGGUGCGAAAGCGUGGGGAGCAAACAGG